rnacentral:rRNA from 1 species
GACGAACGCUGGCGGCGUGCUUAACACAUGCAAGUCGAACGGUGAAGGGACCGGUUUUUGCUGGUUCUGGAUGAGUGGCGAACGGGUGAGUAACACGUGAGUAACCUGCCCCCUUCUUCUGGAUAACCGCAUGAAAGUGUGGCUAAUACGGGAUAUUCUGCGCCUGCUGCAUGGUGGGUGUGGGAAAGAUAUUGUUUUGGUGGGGGAUGGGCUCGCGGCCUAUCAGCUUGUUGGUGGGGUGAUGGCCUACCAAGGCGGUGACGGGUAGCCGGCCUGAGAGGGUGGACGGCCACAGUGGGACUGAGACACGGCCGAGACUCCUACGGGAGGCAGCAGUGGGGAAUAUUGCACAAUGGGCGCAAGCCUGAUGCAGCGACGCCGCGGGAGGGAUGGAGGCCUGCGGGUUGUAAACCUCUUUCGCCAGUGAAGCAGGCCUGUCCCUUUUGUGGGUGGGUUGACGGUAGCUGGAUAAGAAGCGCCGGCUAACUACGUG